rnacentral:lncRNA from 1 species
CUUGAGUGAACUGCAGAGACUCUGCAACCCUGAAGAUGGGAACGGAGGAGGAGGAGGCCUGGUUGUCUAUACUGUAGUUGGCAAAUCUGGUCAUAACAAUGCUGGAAAAGGAUCGCAACAAAUGAGUGAGAGAGAAGCUUUACCCGGAGACGCUCAGGGAAGAAAGUCAAGACAACUUUGGAAGCUGGUGCCAACAGAUGUAACUCUGAGAGAGCAGCGUGAAAGUAACAAUGGAUGAUGAAGCAUGCAGGGAACAAAUCACCUGGCGAGUGGCCUUGUGUGCCCUGGAUGUGAGACGCUGAGAAGGGCACAUCUCCCAUUGAAACAGAACCGCCAGGAGGCAGCCAUCAGACUGAGCCCACGUGAGGACGUUCCGCAAACCAUCUAACGGCCCUGGACGUUGACCAACGUCCGUGCGCUGGGAGGAAGAGGAAGGCUGAGGAGCUGCUCAGGAAUGAGGGGCCAAGGACAGCUGGACACAGCGUGUGAUCCCUGAGAGAGCCAGGAGAAUGUCCUGUCCUGGGGAGAGACCUGCGCUCAGACGUGACAAGACGACAGAGUGAACCUGCUAAACUACUCACGUCGUUUAAAAAGAGCCAUUUACUCCUAUGCGCUCUGGAGUAGAGAACUAAACCUCUAAAAAUCUUAAAACGAAAGCCACAGGCUUGGGGGAGACGCUCCCGGUGGGCCCUGCGGCCCGGAUGGCGCGCGCAGACUCCAGCGAAGACGCGGCCCCUCAGACACCCAGCGGGACAAUGUGGCAACACCUUUUUUAUUGAGAGUAAGAUGUGUUAACAUCCAGCAUGACAAAAUUUGUACAAAGUUCACAAUUUAAAAAUGAAGUUAUCACCGCAACUCGUGAUUCCACACAUUUAUAGCAAAAUUAAAGUCUCAACAAACCCAUGCCGUGUAGUACAAAAAUAAAUCAAACUUCAGUUCCACAGAGAGCACGAUAAAUAUUUAUACAAAAUUCUGUCUUCAUAAAUGAUUACUUAAAUUAACUUAGAAAUGAAUAUGAACAAUAAGUUAGAAUAAAUAAACUCUGAUGACCCACAAUAAUCCCAUACGAAAGGUCAGCAUUCUCUAUGUGACACUUUGUGAUGCCUAUAUAAUAGUCACGGUAACUUCUGAUUGGAUAGUAUGUACCAACGUUAGAUGAGCAGCAGAUUUGUGCUUAAAACCCCUCUCCAUUGUACAUAG